UAGAGAACUUGCCCUUCGGGGUAGAUCUCCCACCCUUUGUUUACAUUACCUUUGUUGCUUUGACAGGCCCGCCUCUCGGGGCCGCCGGCUCCGGCUGGUCAGUGCUUGUCAGAGGAUUUAAAACUCUUGUUUAAUUGUCGUCUGAGUACUAUAUAAUAGUUA
rnacentral:misc_RNA from 1 species